rnacentral:rRNA from 1 species
CUCUUCUUGAAUAUAUUAUGAUGUAUGGCCUGCCCACUGAGUGUUGAAGGGCCGCGGUAUUUUGACCGUGCAAAGGUAGCAUAAUCAUUAGUCUUUUAAUUGUAGGCUGGAAUGAAUGGUUUGACGAGGUGUAAACUGUCUUUAAUUUAUUUGUUGAAUUUAAAUUUUAGGUUAAAAUGCCUAAAUUUUUUUUUGGGACGAGAAGACCCUAUAGAGUUUUAUAUAUUUUUAUUUUUUUGUGUGAUAAUUUUAAAUUUAAGAAUUUAUUUUGUUGGGGUGAUGGAAAGAUUUAAUUAACUCUUUUUAUUUUUUUAUAUUUAUUUAUAUGUAUUUGAUCCAUUUUUGUUGAUUAUAAGGCUAAAUUACC